GCCCGGAUAGCUCAGUCGGUAGAGCGUGGGACUUUUACGCUAACCUCAUCAGGAAAUCCUGUUUGAUUGGUUCUUUAGGGUAAAUCCUAAGGCCGCGGGUUCGAGCCCCGCUUCGGGCG
rfam:Byssochlamys spectabilis No. 5 DNA, contig: PVAR5_00047_3.